rnacentral:rRNA from 1 species
GAUGAACGCUAGCUACAGGCUUAACACAUGCAAGUCGCGGGGCAGCAUGGGGGUUGCUUGCACCUCCCGAUGGCGACCGGCGCACGGGUGAGUAACGCGUAUCCAACCUGCCCUUCACCACGGGAUAACCCGGCGAAAGUCGGACUAAUACCGUAUGUUGUCCAUUGACGGCAUCCGAUUUGGACGAAAGGCUUUGCGGUGAAGGAUGGGGAUGCGUGCGAUUGGCCUGACGGCGGGGUAACGGCCCAUCGUGGCUACGAUCGGUAGGGGUUCUGAGAGGAAGGUCCCCCACAAUGGAACUGAGACACGGACCAGACUCCUACGGGAGGCAGCAGUGAGGAAGAUUGUGCAAGGAGCGUAAGCCUGAACCAGCCAAGUAGCGUGCAGGAGGACGGCGCUAUUGGUGGUAAACUGCUUUUAUGCGGGGAUAAAGUGGCCCACGGGUGGGCUUUUGCAGGUACCGCAUGAAUAAGGACCGGCUAACUCCGUG